GGGGGUUGGGGUAGGCUGCUCAGCGCCCGACCUCCACCCUUUGUUGUUAAAACUACCUUGUUGCUUUGGCGGGACCGCUCGGUCUCGAGCCGCUGGGGAUUCGUCCCAGGCGAGCGCCCGCCAGAGUUAAACCAAACUCUUGUUAUUUAACCGGUCGUCUGAGUUAAAAUUUUGAAUAAAUCAAAACUUUCAACAACGGAUCUCUUGGUUCUCGCAUCGAUGAAGAACGCAGCGAAAUGCGAUAAGUAAUGUGAAUUGCAGAAUUCAGUGAAUCAUCGAAUCUUUGAACGCACAUUGCGCCCCUUGGUAUUCCGAGGGGCAUGCCUGUUCGAGCGUCAUUACACCACUCAAGCUAUGCUUGGUAUUGGGUGCCGUCCUUAGUUGGGCGCGCCUUAAAGACCUCGGCGAGGCCUCACCGGCUUUAGGCGUAGUAGAAUUUAUUCGAACGUCUGUCAAAGGAGAGGACUUCUGCCGACUGAAACCUUUAUUUUUCUAGGUUGACCUCGGAUCAGGUAGGGAUACCCGCUGAACUUAAGCAUAUCAAUAAGCCGGAGGGAAA
rnacentral:rRNA from 1 species